GACCAGGUAGCACAAUUGGUAGAGCAUCUGGCUGGUGUUCAGAGGUCCCGGGUUCGAACCCCGGUCUGGUCG